rnacentral:rRNA from 1 species
UACGGAAGGUGCAAGCGUUAUCCGGUUUUAUUGGGUUUAAAGGGUGCGUAGGCGGCUUAUUAAGUCAGUUGUGAAAUCCUAGUGCUUAACGCUAGAACUGCGAUUGAUACUGGUAGGCUUGAGUCAAGAAGAGGUAAGUAGAAUUUAUGGUGUAGUAGUGAAAUGCUUAGAUAUCAUAAGGAAUACCAAAAGCGUAGGCAGCUUACUGGUCUUGAACUGACGCUGAGGCACGAAAGCGUGGGGAGCAAACAGG